GUAGGUGGCAAGCGUUGUCCGGAAUUGUUGGGCGUAAAGCGCGCGCAGGCGGUUCUUUAAGUCUGAUGUGAAAGCCCACGGCUCAACCGUGGAGGGUCAUUGGAAACUGGAGAACUUGAGUACAGAAGAGGAAAGCGGAAUUCCACGUGUAGCGGUGAAAUGCGUAGAGAUGUGGAGGAACACCAGUGGCGAAGGCGGCUUUCUGGUCUGUAACUGACGCUGAGGCGCGAAAGCGUGGGGAGCAAACAGGGAUUAGAUACCCUGGUAGUCCACGCCGUAAACGAUGAGUGCUAAGUGUUAGGGGGUUUCCGCCCCCUUAGUGCUGCAGUUAACGCAUUAAGCACUCCGCCUGGGGAGUACGGCCGCAAGGCUG
rnacentral:rRNA from 1 species